UUGCACUUGUUCUUGACACCAGUGGUGAUAAGCUUCCUAAUACAUUCAACUUAGCGUACAAGAGUGUUCCUAUGCAUGAUGUAACUGUAGGAUCAUAUAUCCUUGUUGGUGCUGGUGAGGUGUGUGGCACUUAUUAGAAGCUUCUCCAUGAGAAAGAAGAAUUAUGAACAUGAUGGAGUUUGUAAUUUGUAGUUUAUAUUUUGGAGAUUUAUAAUUCCUUGCUUUUCUUGUCAUAUGUAUCUAUCUAGUUCAUUAGAGUUUUUCAAUGUGUCUUGUUAGUUUGUACUUUAGAGUUUAUAUGUUGAAGAUUUAUAAAACAAUCUUAGUUAAAU